AUGGACUCAAAGAAUAAACUCACAUUCAAAUUCAAAUUUGGAUUCAAAACAAUUAAAGAAAACAGAAAAAAAUAAAACAUAAAGAAAAAGGGAAUAAGGAACCUUACUGGGCCGGAUUACCCGUUUUCGGCCCAGCUCCGGACUGCUCCCGUGCAGCCCACGCUCCUCACCGCGCGCGGCGCUGUAUCAAACCGGCCCCACUACUCCAAUCACUGCGCGCGGGCGAAACGCUGGCGGGUGGGGCCCUUUCGUCAGGUCGUCAUCUUCCCCUGAGAAAUCGC
rnacentral:lncRNA from 7 species